UACGAAGGGGGCUAGCGUUGCUCGGAAUCACUGGGCGUAAAGGGUGCGUAGGCGGGUCUUUAAGUCUGAGGUGAAAUCCUGGAGCUCAACUCCAGAACUGCCUUUGAUACUGAGGGUCUUGAGUAUGACAGAGGUGAGUGGAACUGCGAGUGUAGAGGUGAAAUUCGUAGAUAUUCGCAAGAACACCAGUGGCGAAGGCGGCUCACUGGGUAGAUACUGACGCUGAGGUGCGAAAGCGUGGGGAGCAAACAGG
rnacentral:rRNA from 1 species